CUCCUACGGGAGGCAGCAGUAGGGAAUCUUCGGCAAUGGACGAAAGUCUGACCGAGCAACGCCGCGUGAGUGAAGAAGGUUUUCGGAUCGUAAAACUCUGUUGUUAGAGAAGAAUAGGGGAAAGAGUAACUGUUUUCCUCGUGACGGUAUCUAACCAGAAAGCCACGGCUAACUACGUGCCAGCAGCCGCGGUAAU
rnacentral:rRNA from 1 species